rnacentral:lncRNA from 1 species
GGGGAAACCCGAGCUCCCAACAAAACGGUUCCAUCUUUGGCUAGGCCUUUGGUAUUUCAAGGCGCUGCCGGUGGGGAGAGAUGCCGCGUGCCUGAGAGGCUCUGGGAGAUGUUAUGUGGUCAACAGGGACUGAGGCUCUUUAAGCCCUUAAAUCUCUAAGGGCUAAAUCUCCUUCCUGAUAUUCGCCCCCAAACCGGCACCAAAGAAGGCCCAGAGAGGUUUAACAACUUCCUCAGAAUCACACAGCUUCCAAAUGGUUGGGUUGGGUUUACAUUUAGGCGGUCUUGCUCCAGAGCCAGUGCUCCUAACCUUUGCAAGCCACGAACCUCAAGAAAGUGGAGAAGGAAACGCUGGGAAAUCUGGAAGUCAGACAUGGCAAGUUUUUCUCACUGUAAGAAGAGGACAAUAGCCUAUGAUCUACAGUGCCCAUUCCAACUCAGAGAAUCUUUACAUCUGGAGAUCUAUAGCAGGGCUAUCCCUAGUGACAUGCGUGAAGAAGCUUGGAAAUGGUGCUGGGUAGGAGCUGAGUGUGCAGAAUGUGGAAAGGCAUUCUAAACCAAAGGAAGAACACGAGUAAAGAUGAUGAAGCAGGGAUAAGGCUAAAAUGAAAUUUGUGAUCUGAUCCACAUACAAGCACAGUGUAGUACAGCUGGAAUAUAGAGAAGAGCUUGAAGACUUAUGAGCAACUAUCCCGGUACUCUUGGAGGCUCUGCAACCACAGUUUGAGAAACUCCGCGUUCAAAGUUAAAAACUGUCACCUGAAUAGUUAAUAACAUCAAAGAUUGUGAAAGCAAGUAUAAAUAACACAGAGAUUAAAAUAAUGAGGCAGGAUCAGAAAGUGAGUGUUAUAUUUAUCUAUUUUUUCCUGUAUCACUGAAACAAAAACAUAACAUUUCAAAA